CCCCAUUUCUUUCUCCAACUCUUUCCUUCAGCAAAUGCCCUAGCUCCACCAAAGAAAGCAAACCCUAGCCUUCACCAAUCUUGUCGCCAAUCUUGUCGCCGUCUGUCGGAGUGAGAAACUGCUGCUGCCGCCUCCGUUGCACUCAAGAACUUCCGUCUUCGUGCUAUCGGCGUUCGCUACUUCGAUCUCACCAACCCCUGUUCGCUCUCCAUCCCCUGUUCGCUCUCACGAAUCGCCUGGUUGCCGUCGUCCGCGCGCUCAACAGCUCUCCGUCGUCCGUCGAAGGUCAAUGCUCACUGCUAGUGGCUUGUUCUUCGUGUAUUUUUUAUUGUCUGUUCAGAAAUCAAACCCUCUUCGUGCUUGUUCUUCGAUGUGUUGACCUAUUGAAUAGUAUUCAGCAAUGUUCUGAAAACUGGACCAGACCGGCCGGUCCGAUCAUUUCAACCUCGAACCGGAGACGUAAACCGGAAAUUAUAAAACCGGAUGUGAAUCAUUGAACCGGGCAGAAACCGGCCGGUUUGGAUAAAACAUCACAGUUUUGCGCUUUAUGGGGAGAAACAAAACGCGCUUCUCCAUCUCCUUCCUUAUUCCUUCGAGCAGAACACGCCCUGCCUCAACCCGGGGAAAACCCUAGCCGCCACCACCGCCGCAGGGAGAAGCCGUGUUUGCCGCCGUCCGUCGCAGUCAGGGGCUUGUCUCCUCGAGUCUUCGUGCGUCACAGUCAGGGGAGUUCUCCAAGUCUUCGACCUGUUCGCAGUCACCAGUCGCAGGCGCACCGCUUCUUCCUCCAGCUCGGCGGCCGUUGUGUUGUCGCCGUUGUUUGUCGCCAUCUGUUGCAGUCAGGGAUUUGUCUGAAAUGUUUGUUUUACGGUUUUAAAUGGCAAAGUGAUGCGAAAAUUGGGUGUGGAGGUUGUGGGGUUGGGAGCCCUAAGGUUCACUGGAUUCCUUAGAGAACAAUGCAACAGAAUAACAUGAGUUUUGAAUCAAUGUACAUUGUUCGAAUGCUGAAACAGGUCACUUGUUGCCAACUUAGCAGCUGCUAAUUGCUACAAGUCUGAGCAUUUGAAAAGACCAGAAAAUUGGGCAUUAGUUGAAAAAGCCAAGUAUUACUACAUUGCUGGCUUUUUCCUAACUUUAUCUCCAGAUUCCAUUCAAUUAGUUGUUGAACAUGCUGUUGCAAAUAACAAGGCCUUCACCAUGAACCUUUCAGCCCCCUCAACUUGGAAACAACACUAGAUCCCGUUUAUGGCUUGUUCAGCAAGAAGAAUCUGUUGCUAAGAGAGCUCGAUCUCUUACAACAGAUGAACGCAACUCUGCCUAAGAUUAAACCGAAAAGGUCAUCUUGCAAGGUUCAGGUGCAUGUUCAGUUAGCAUAAUACCAUAGAAUGAUCAACAUUUUCUCACUGAACUAGCUCAACAUUCUUUUGAAAUUGAUAAUCAUUUAUCUCCUGACAUUUCUAAAUUAGAAUCUAAGGUGUUAAAUGAUCCUAUUAACCCUCAAAGUCAAAAUUUAAUAUUUAGAUAUUUCUUUUUACUAUUUAACUUUUGAGUUUGUAUUUUGAUAAGAUCAUAUGAAUUUGGUUAAUGAUUUUUUGUGUAGUGUUUUAAAUUUGGAAGAUAUUUUAGGAUGUUUAUUUAUAAUUUAUUUAUUAUUUUUUUCUAAAACGAUUUUUUUGGUUGAACUACCGGUUGAACCGGUUGGAUCAAUAAACCAAUAAACCAGUGACUAAAACGGUUUGAUGACUGGUCCGGUUUUUAAAAUCUUGGUUAUUAGUUUAACGGUGGUCACUCGUUUACAUGAUUGAUUUAAUUAUAAUUAAAUAAAAAUAUAAAAUUAUAAAAAAAUUAAAAUAAAAAAUUAAAAUAUAUGUUUUCACAGAUAUAUUAAUAACAAUCAAGUAUUAAUUUAUAGAUAUAAAUCACAACUAAUGAUGCAAACAUAUAUAAUAAACUAGUAAUUAGUAUAAAACAUUUUCUUAAUUUAAAUGAACAAAAGAACAAAAUAUAGCAUAAUAAGUAAAUUAAUGUUUAACAAACUAAUCAAAAACAUACUUCAACUAAUUUAUAAAUAAAUCCAUAAAUAUGAUUAUAUAAAUAGUCUAAUAUUGUCCGUGUUUGUUAAUACUCAAUAUUAAAUCGACUCUUAAUAUUACAAGUAAAUUCUAAGAAUAAGACUAUGAGUCUCUACCCAGAAAAUAAUCUCAAAAAAAAUCUCAAGUAAUGAUUUUCAGCAACAAAUCCACCUCAGAAAGAGGAAAAGAAAAGAGAAAAAAAGAAAAUAAUGAAUGGUAUAUAAGAUAUGGUAUAGGAAGAAAUUAAUAAUACUACGUGUACAUUAAAAUCAAUCACUAAAAUCAACUAUUAGUAUAAAAUAUAUAUUGGAAUAUAAAUUUAAAUUAAAAAUAAAUUAAAUUAUAUAUAUUUAUAUAUAAAUAUAUUAAUGGCUGAUUUUAGUAUACAAAUAAUAUUUUUUUAAAAAAAUUGAUCUACACCAUAGAAUA